GUAGGUGAACCUGCGGAAGGAUCAUUAACACUCCAAAACUUCUCAUAGCUCUGGGAAACCAGAGUUUAUGAAACCCUAUUCACAUUAGCGAACCCGGCUGGAUCGUUGAGUCGCAAGGCUUCUCGAUCUAAGCUAUUUUCUUUUGUCCAUUUCAUUUUUAACCCCAAUCAUUAUAACUUUUAUUUGACUGACUGGAAGACCUUAAAAAUCUUCCGUUGCUCUUCGCUCUAACCAGUGAAGGCAAUGAAAA
rnacentral:misc_RNA from 1 species